AUGCGCAAAUGGAGACGCUGGCUGAGAUCAAGUAAGUGCCGAGGCCUUCAACCCUAUAUCGACAAAGCGGUGGCUCGUCUUAGCCCGUGGAAAGGAAAGUUUCUGAAUCAUGCCGGGUGCAUUGCUCUGGUUAAGUCCGUGCUCUCCUCCAUGCCAAUCUUCUUGCUGACAGCUUUAAAGGCUGACAAAGGCAUCCUCAAGGCCUUUGCGAAGAUCAGUCGCGGCAUGCUCUGGGCCUGUAAGGAGGCGGUUAGUGGAGGGAAAUGCAAAGUCAACUGGCAAAAGGUCUGUCGCCCGAAGGAGCUCGGUGGUUUGGGAGUUUUGGACCUGCAGAGGUUCUCCCGGGCCCUGAGGCUUCGCUGGUUAUGGUAUGAGUGGAAGGCUCCUGAGAAGCCAUGA
rnacentral:rRNA from 1 species